rnacentral:rRNA from 1 species
AACGCGAAGAACCUUACCCAGGCUUGACAUGCAGUAGACCGACUCAGAAAUGAGUCUUUCCUUCGGGACUGCUGCACAGGUGCUGCAUGGCUGUCGUCAGCUCGUGCCGUGAGGUGUUGGGUUAAGUCCCGCAACGAGCGCAACCCUUAUCAUUAGUUGCCAACAUUUAAGGUGGGAACUCUAAUGAGACUGCCUGGGUUAACCAGGAGGAAGGUGAGGAUGACGUCAAGUCCGCAUGGCCCUUAUGUCUGGGGCUACACACGUGCUACAAUGGCCGGUACAGAAGGCAGCGAAACCGUGAGGUGAAGCAAAUCCCAAAAGCCGGCCCCAGUUCAGAUUGUAGUCUGCAACUCGACUACAUGAAGAUGGAAUUGCUAGUAAUGGCGAGUCAGCAACAUCGCCGUGAAUACGUUCCCGGGCCUUGUACACACCGCUACAGU